AUCGCUUCUCGGCCUUUUGGCUAAGAUCAAGUGUAGAUCUGUUCUUAUCAGUUUAAAUACCUGAUACGUCCUCCAUUCGAGGACUUUAUAUUAAAACGGGAUUUUUAGAGCGAGGAGCUGGAAGAGGGGCUUGCUCCGUUCCGCUCCACGCAUCGACCUGGUAUUGCAGUACCUCCAGGGAACGGUGCACCCUUU
ensembl:snRNA U2 U2 spliceosomal RNA